rnacentral:rRNA from 1 species
AGAACGAACGCUGGCGGCAUGCCUAAUACAUGCAAGUCGAACGAACUCUUCGGAGUUAGUGGCGCACGGGUGCGUAACGCGUGGGAAUCUGCCCUUGGGUUCGGAAUAACAGUUGGAAACGACUGCUAAUACCGGAUGAUGACGAAAGUCCAAAGAUUUAUCGCCCAGGGAUGAGCCCGCGUAGGAUUAGCUAGUUGGUGAGGUAAAGGCUCACCAAGGCGACGAUCCUUAGCUGGUCUGAGAGGAUGAUCAGCCACACUGGGACUGAGACACGGCCCAGACUCCUACGGGAGGCAGCAGUAGGGAAUAUUGGACAAUGGGCGAAAGCCUGAUCCAGCAAUGCCGCGUGAGUGAUGAA